rnacentral:rRNA from 1 species
AUGAACGCUGGCGGCGUGCUUCACACAUGCAAGUCGAACGAAGCACUUUAUUUGAUUUCCUUCGGGACUGAUUAUUUUGUGACUGAGUGGCGGACGGGUGAGUAACGCGUGGGUAACCUGCCUUGUACAGGGGGAUAACAGUUGGAAACGGCUGCUAAUACCGCAUAAGCGCACGGCAUCGCAUGAUGCAGUGUGAAAAACUCCGGUGGUAUAAGAUGGACCCGCGUUGGAUUAGCUAGUUGGUGAGGUAACGGCCCACCAAGGCGACGAUCCAUAGCCGACCUGAGAGGGUGACCGGCCACAUUGGGACUGAGACACGGCCCAAACUCCUACGGGAGGCAGCAGUGGGGAAUAUUGCACAAUGGGCGAAAGCCUGAUGCAGCGACGCCGCGUGAGCGAAGAAGUAUUUCGGUAUGUAAAGCUCUAUCAGCAGGGAAGAUAAUGACGGUACCUGACUAAGAAGCACCGGCUAAAUACGUG